CUUACUGUCGGUUGUGUCUUCCCUCUGCCAACGUCGUCCCACGAUCUUAAGGCAGCAAAUGCCAAAGAUGAGUUUUAUCAUCCGCAUCAUCAAACGCACCGCCUCUGCCAUCAUCUCAUCAAUUCUCAGAUUUUUGGCAUUGGUUAGGGUCACGAAAGUCUCUUCUUCUUCUUCACUCCGUUAUACAAAACCCUAGCUCUAAUAUCUCAAGCGACGAUGGUUUCAAUAAUCGAAGGCCAGCUGGAGCGAGAUUAGAAAGAUUUUGGUGGAGAAAAUCGCGCCCCCUUCAAAGACAUCAACUGGGAUCUUGCUUCGCCAAGGAAAUAUUGGAUAGUUUUCAUGAUCAGGAAUUUUGGUAUGUUGAUCAAGGGAUAUUAGCACCAGAAACCAAUGGCUCAGCCUCUUUCAGGAUGCAGUUUCAACGUCAUGAGGAGAAAUGGUUGCUGCCUGUACCCCAUGUUCCUGCUAGAGGCCUUCAAGAGACCUUAAGAAAGCAACUACAUCACAAACGCGAAUGCACAAACCAAAUCUUGAAACACACAAUGGCCAUUAACAGCAAUGCUUAAGCUGAACUGGAAGUGCCAGGGUCCUUUAUUGACUCAUUACCUAAGGUCCGAUCUCCGAGAAAUUACAUACUAACAUUAUAUUCAUAAAUUUGAAACUGGCUUUCAUUUUAAACUUUAGAAUGCAAGAGAAAGCAUAGGUGAUGUAAUUUACAAAUACAUUACCUCUGAUCAAUUCUCGCCUGAGUGCCUCCUAGAUUGCUUUGAAAUCUCCUAUGAGCACCAAGCUCUAGAGAUAGCCAAUCGUGUAGAAGAGUCCCUUUAUAUAUGGCGUCGAAGAACAACAACAAAGUCUAAAACCAAUGCCGAGAAAAGGGAGUUGUUGGCUGAUAGAGCUGAGAGUCUCUUAAUAUGCCUGAAGCAGAGAUUUCUUGGCCUUACACAAACCAUAUUAGACAUGUGCCAAAUUCAAUUCAACAAGGAUAUUGGAAAGUACAACCAGAGUCUUCGAGAGUCUUGCAUUCAACAUUGUUGCUCGAAUUAAUGAUCUCCUAUAUGUUGAUGACUUAAGUAAGCAUUCUGAUCAGAAAAAUGCCAUGAUCCCUUGUUCAAUUUUAAUCUUUAGCACUCCUUAUGCUACUGCUUACGGAACUCCAAGCUUCUCACCGGUUCCAUUGAUUAGCCUUGCUUGUGGAGAGAAAACACCUUUCAGCAUCAGAAAAGGUCAUAAUCAGGGAUUUAGCGUGAAGAAAGUUUUAUCAGACUAUCUAAAUUGAUAGACGAGAGAGAGAAAUGAUAGCACUAUCAGAGCCGGCCUAUAGCAUAGGCGGGUGAGGCGUUCGCCUGGGGCCCCCAAAAAAUAGGGGCCCCGAAAAAUAGCUGGCAUCCUUACAUAGAAGCCCAUCAAAGUCUAAUAAAAUCAAAAUCACAAUUCAAGUCUCAAAGAAUUGCCCCCCAUUCAAGGAAGCUUUUCAUAAUCAAGUCCACAGGACCACAGAAUGAAUCUCUUAAAAUGCCCGGCGACCUGAACGUUGAGUAUGUAGCGUGUUUCUAAUUGAAAGGAAGAAACACGAGAGGAUUCAGACGGAUUUAUUUUUCGUGUAUAGGCCGGCUCUGGCCCCGAUCGGACUCGCCACUCGGCCCACUCUGCCGAAGUUGUAGAGAGUCGAGUAGUACUUGAGCCAGAAAAUAUUGACUGUAGGAGGGCCCCUUUAGGAUUUUUGUACAAAUUUUUGCCUAGGGCCCCCGAAUGCUCAGGACCGGCCCUGAGCACUAUUAUCAACAUUUUAGUCCUGAUCCCAAGAAUGAACGAGUCAUGAUUCAUCGAGCUCAUAGUAAGAUCAUUCCAUAACAUGUACAUGUCAUUUGUAAGAAGCUUGUUUUGUGUAUGCUGAGAUUUAGUCAAAGAUAA